UCCUGGAGACAAGAAAUCACUCUGAGGAUAAACAAAUACAACAGGGCAAAAAAUUUUGCUGAAACAAAUUGAAUUUUAUUUUGUUUAAAUUGGUAGUUGAACUUGAUACAGUGUCCAUUCUCUUGAAUUCAUUCAGAAGUUACAUUCCUUGAACAAAUGAACUGUACAGUUUGAACUAUUUCUUUGCGGUAUGCCAAUAUUAUGAGAACAGCACGGCACUAACUUUGAGGAGACGAGUGAAAUCUAUCUCUAUAAGUACAACAAACAGCUAGGUAACAACUGAUUUUCAACAUACGGUGUGAAGAUAAUAAUAGAGAACGAGAAGGGACAAGAAUUGAUAUUAAAAAAUUACGUUCCUGAAAAUUCAAAUUAUUUCAUACAUCCGAAUGCAUCAAUGAAUUGAAGAGAGAAAAAAUGAAGGCAGCUUGAUCCAAAAAUUACCUUAAGCUAAUCACCCAUGUGCACACGAUCAAGAAUGAUCAACCUCAACGGAUGGGCAAUUUGGUUUAAGGAUGAUCUUGAUUUGGGGAUUAGGCUUCAAGGACUUUAGACUUUGCCUAAUAGAGGAUUCAAUUCGGAAAAAAAUUUGAAAUUUCAAUUCAGAAAGAAAUUGAUUUCAAGCUUUGGGUUUUCAUUUGGAUUAAUGUCGUGUGUCAUAUGGGUGGGAAAGGCUUGUUUGGCAAAUGAAUUGAAGACAAAGCAGUGAUUUGGAACUUGUCAUCUGGAGCGAUUUAAUUGGACACAUCAUUUCACCGUUAGCCAUGUAAGCACAUUUAUUAACGGAUUUCAUCCAGUGGCUAAUAGAGUGAGACAGAAACUAAUGGGACGUUUGAUAAGUAAGCCGACACAUGAGUAAAGUUCAGUGGCCAGUGAAACAUUUACCUUCUUGAAUUCUAUAUACACGUAAUAAAAUCGUUCAUUCAAAUCACAAAAUUUUACAUUGAGCCACUCAAAAUAUGAGCUGCUCAACAUCACACAUCCACUUUGUUUCUCUUACUCGGUAUCUCCAUGCAAUUAGCACAAAUUUGACGUAAUUUAAAUAAGCAGUCCUUCCAUACAUAUGGUAUAAUCCUAGUGAAGAAGCUUUUCAUCAUUCUCGCUCUCUUCAUUAUCCUGCUCAACCACAAUGUAAAAUGGCAUAUGCCACCACGAUCGGCUUUAAUCAUUACAGCCUGGAGACAAGAAAUCACUCUGAGGAUAAACAAAUACAACAGGGCAAAAAAUUUUGCUGAAACAAAUUGAAUUUUAUUUUGUUUAAAUUGGUAGUUGAACUUGAUACAGUGUCCAUUCUCUUGAAUUCAUUCAGAAGUUACAUUCCUUGAACAAAUGAACUGUACAGUUUGAACUAUUUCUUUGCGGUAUGCCAAUAUUAUGAGAACAGCACGGCACUAACUUUGAGGAGACGAGUGAAAUCUAUCUCUAUAAGUACAUCAAACAGCUAGGUAACAACUGAUUUUCAACAUACGGUGUGAAGAUAAUAAUAGAGAACGAGAAGGGACAACAAUUGAGAGUAUAAAAGAAAGAAAAAGAACAAAGAAAAACAAGAAAAACUUCGGGUCUCCUUCGAACAAAAUAUACCUGGUGAGAAA
rnacentral:lncRNA from 1 species